rnacentral:rRNA from 1 species
GACGAACGCUGGCGGCGUGCUUAACACAUGCAAGUCGAACGAUGAUCCCGCUUCGGUGGGGGAUUAGUGGCGAACGGGUGAGUAACACGUGGGUAAUCUGCCCUCGUACUUUGGGAUAAGCCUGGGAAACUGGGUCUAAUACCGGAUAGGACCAUUGGACGCAUGUUUGGUGGUGGGAAAAGUUCCGGCGGUACGGGAUGAGCCCGCGGCCUAUCAGCUUGUUGGGUGGGGUGAUGGCCUACCAAGGCGACGACGGGUAGCCGGCCUGAGAGGGCGACCGGCCACACUGGGACUGAGACACGGCCCAGACUCCUACGGGAGGCAGCAGUGGGGAAGUAUUGCACAAUGGGCGAAAAGCCUGAUGCAGCGACGCCGCGUGAGGGAUGACGGCCUU